GCCUUCUUAGCUCAGUGGUAGAGCGCGCCACUCGUAUUGGGGAAUGGUGAGGUCGGUUGUUCAAUCCAGCCAGGAGGCA